ACCUCCUUCCCCACCGCUGAAGAGGCGGCGUGGUUGUUUUUUAAUAUACACUGCCCCCUCUGGCUUCCCUCUCCGCUGCUUCUCUGCUGCCAGGUGCCAAGCUCCUGCAGGAAUUAGGAGAGAAGAGGACAGCAGCGAAGCUUUACGGAUCAUGUCAGCCAGGCCACACCAUGUCCUCGGGCAACACGGGAGAAAAUGGAAAAGGUGCUGGUUGGAAAAUCUGGCAAAAUCUGUCACUUCUGGGGCACGGGAGGCACAGGAACAUUUUUCAGCCUCGAAGUGCAGUCCUCAUCCCUGCAGCCGGCAGGGUUCAUGUAAUUGGACGUCCAUUUAUUUUUGUUUCUUUCGCGGUUUUGCUUAGCAAUGUUAGCACUUACACAAUCUCCAGCAGCCUUGGAUACGAGCACCUCAUGACAACGAGCAGGGGACAGGAUUCGUGCCGCCACGGCUGCUGCGUUUCGCUCGGAGACAGGUGUUCUCGGGGAUGGCUGGGAGAAAGUGGGCUUUGGGUGGGGAAAACUAUCUUUAUAACAGAUAGGUCUAAGAAUAGACCGACUCCUUGGCUUGGACCCAUCUCUCAGAGACAUCCAGAUGGGAAUCCUGAGUCCAGUGAGUCAGACCGUCUGUGCAAGAUGAGGGGGCAGAGGGCUCCUUCUCUGCAGAUCUUGCUGGAUAAGCAGGAUUUAGGGAGCAUUUUCACCCCCGUGAAAGCUCCCCGUGACCCGGCAGGGUUUUGGGGCACCCGUGCAGAAGGUUAUGGCUGUGGGCAAGACCGUUUUCAUAUGUUUUCCCCAAAAAUACAGCCACCAGCACAUCCCUCGCUGGCUGCGCACCGGGAAAGCUCUCCCAAGAAGGCAGAAAGGGAAAUUUGAUGGCACUGUUCCAGAAGAGGAAAUGAGGCAGAGAUGCGCUCAAAGCAUCUGAGGAAAAGGGCUUGUCCUCCUGUGGGUUCAGAGAGGAUUUUGCUCAAAGGAGAGAAAGGAGAAGGUGGUCCAAAAAGGCUGGAUUUGUCCCCGUUGUGAGAUCCCCUGUUGCCUCCCUUCGCUGGUGGGCAAAGGACAAUAUUUCUAAAGCAAAAAUGGGCAAAGAACAAAGCGGUGGCAGGGCUUUUUGAAGCUAUUUGAUACAUUUUCACACAUAGCAGGCACAUAACCCUUAUUUGAUUGGGUAUGCCAGAAAUGAACUUUCUCUUGAAUGUAUGGCCUUUCAGAGCUGGCACAGAAAAGCUGGCCAGAUAAACACAGCGUUGGUUUUGGUAUUCUUUAGAAGUGGCUUUGAAGCUGUAAGGAUCACUGCUCUUGGAUUGAGUGAUGUCAGGAAUCAUCCCUCAGGAGGCAACUGGGUCAUUCAGAAACCAAGCCAAAACCAAGGUCUUUUCAAGGUGGUAUUUCUAAGAGUGAAUGGAGAAAUCUUCGCUCUCGAACCUGUGUGCUCACAGCAGAAAAUUAAUUGAAAUUAUUCAGAGUCCAAUCCUGCUCUCCUCGCGCUGUGACUAAUCUAAGCGAGAUGAAUAGGCUACUUGUAGAACAAGAAACUGCUCAGCAUGACUAACUUUGGAGGAAUCAAGCCCUCGCUGAGCAUUAUUAACCAGGUUUGAAGCACAGUGCUCAUUUUGUGUUCUCCCACUGAACGUCAGGCAGUUUUCUCCGUUCCUUUAGCUUUCCAAGAUGCCCAGGAAGGUGGCCUUUCAAACCGUGCCAACAAAACAAGCUUGCCAUGAGAGGUGCAAAUGGUAUUCUUGCAGGUGUCAAACAGCUACGCCACGUGCAAGGAGUGAAGUCACUCCUUGUAGCACCCUCAGUGUCAAAAUGCUGCUUCCCGGAGCCAGCUGAAGGCAGAUGAUGUCAAGGCACAGCUCAGGACCUUCCCCUGCAUUUCUCAGGGCACUCGUUUCUGCAGCCAUCUGCUGCGCAGAGCCGAUGCUCUCGGUGGUGUUCAUUAUGAGACAUGGUUUUAAAGCAUUUAACAUAACCACAGCCUGACAGACAGGAAGAUGUUUAUCCCCUUAGGGAAGGGAUCAACAAAAGUGCAUCUGGAAGCAAAGCAACGCGUUUGGAUCCUGUCCUUGUGGCCUGGCUCCAUAAAAGAGGAAGCCAAUCUUUCUUUUUUGCCUUCAGGAGGACUUUACACUUUUGAUCCAGAAAUGUGUUAGCAGAGAUCAGAGAGAGGAGGUGGCAUCCCAGAUGGCCCACUUGGAUCCAUCCUUGGAUUUCCCCAGAAGGGGAUCCUAAUGAUCUUUCUGAGUCCUGCUUUUUCGUUUUCUGUGUCCCAUGCGGGCAGCUCAGCCUCUCUAAAGGCAGAAAGGAGACAUCUGCCCGGCAGCAGCGCCGGCACGCUGAGGAACUGGUGCAUGUUCCAGAUAGCUACUAUUUUUCUCUUUGCACCUGACCUAAGGCAAGGACUUUUCCCUUGGUUCUAGUAUCAGGAGAAAAAAUAAAAAAUAAAUAAUAAAUCCUGAAGUUAUGGCUACCUAUUAAGCUAUUCUAAUUUAUUUAGUGUUGGUCUUUACGUAAUCAGGUCUUAUAUAGGACUACAGGCUUUCUGAUUAUCCCCUGCUCAACACACAUGAAAGGCAGGCUUGUAAUUCAUGCUACGAUCCAGGAUGCUGUGAGCAGCAGCGGAGAGGACCACCCCGAGGCUGAGUCAUGCCACCUACACCAGACACCUCGCCCAGGAGGCUGUGAGUCAGCCGUGAGAGCGCCCAUCUCCCCGCGGAUGGCAGGGACAGGGACGGCUGGCACAUGGCAGCUGCCCAGAUUUUCGGUGGCUGGGCUUAGGUGAACUCUGCCCCGGCUCCCUGCCGUCAGAAACGGGGCAUUCUGCCUUUAAACCCCGGUGGUCACAAGUUAUGGACACAUCUGAACCCCUUUGCUUUGCUCAUCCUACUCGAGUUUGGCGCUGGAAAGCUGCUCUGCCUCUUCGAGAGCUGGCUCUGGGAGCAUUUGUCAAACUGAGAGCAUUUACAGGAGACUCCUGCUCUUUAAUGGGGCCUCAUAAGUUCCUUCUAAACUUCUGAUAUCUACUGGGAAGAGGGACAGUGGCCUUCUUGCAGGGGUCACAGGGCUUUCUUCAUCUUGGCUCCCACCACCAAACCCACCAUCUUGGCUUCCCACCAAAGCCAGCAUCAUUCCCACUGGUCUUUAUGGACUCAGGGGGUUCAUUUAUAUCUCUGCAGUGCGUGCCAGGUGCUGAUUUUUCUUUUCAACAAGCAUUUCCUUUCAUUUAUCUACAUUGCAUCUCCUGUGCCUUGUAUUGCCCUUCAGCUCCCUUCAGGUUCUUGAAAGCUCUUUGCUCCUAUGGUCACAACUUUACUCCAUUACUGCCCUAUAGCUCAGAAGGGCUCGUGCACAACAUUGUGCCUUUUGGACAAACUGUCACCAGCCAGAGGCUCGCGUGGCUUUGUGCUGAUGCCAUGCUCUGAAGCCUCUUACGGAGGCUUAUUUUCUUGUUAAGUAGCUCUUCUCAACCUGGACACGCUCUCCUAUUGACUUAAAGGUCAUGUUUAACCUCCAAAAUCCCCGUCCAGAAUCCUGCGGGCUGCAACGUGAAUUUUUGAGCAGAGAAGGAUCGAGUCUGGGGAAAAACUGCAAGGAAUGAUGCUGCGGAGAAAUAUCCCACCAUCUCCUAAACACCCUGCCUGAGCUCUUGGCUUCUCUUGUGGCUACAGAAUGCUACCUAAGACAUAUAGCCCAUGUUGCAGUUUCCCUUUGGAACAAAUUAUAACAUUUUUAGCUAAA